rnacentral:lncRNA from 1 species
UCUGUUCUUUUUCAAGGUGCACUGAUUUCAUAUUUUUCAAACGCACGUGCUGCCGUGUUGAGUCACCAGUGACUUUUUGAUUCUUUAAUUCCCAGUUUGACUGGCAUUCGUCUCUGUGUGUGUAUUCAGUUCUAUGCAGUUUUAUCACAUGUGUAGGCGGCUAAUCUGGAAAAUCUCCCCCACCUUAACUUCUGUUUGGUUUUGAUUUACGACAUUGACUCAAGAUUAUCUACAGUCUGUUUCUCUGAUUGCUUCAGGUACUGAUGGCUGCAUAAUGAGUCACCCCAGAACUUAGUGGCUUACAACAACAGAAUCAUUUUAUUAACAUCUCAGCUAUGUGGUUCUUGCUUGUGGUCUUUCACGCCGUUGCAGUCAGCUGGGGCUGGGAUAAUCUGGAGGGCUGUCUCCUGUGUCUAGCGGUUGAUGCUGGCUGUCAGCUGGGACCUUAGCUGGGGUGGUCAGUUGGAAUACCUAUGGGGGUCCUGUCCAUGUAGCAGUGUCCUGUCCAUAUAGCAGGGUCCUAGGAGUCAGCAUCUUAAGAGGACCAGGUGGAAACUACUGCCUUUUAUGAGUUAGUCUCACAAGUCACAUAGCGUCUCUUCCCAGAACCAAAGGGAGGGAACAUAGACCCUCAGCUCUGGAGGCAGGAGUGUCUUUAUCACUUGUAAGAAGAGCAUAUGGAAUGGGAUAUGUGCGGUCAUCUCUGGAAAAUGUCACACUUCACUCGUGCUGCUGCGUUGGCCAUCUUUCUCCCUGAUUUCGGUAAUAGUGCAAGCAGUCUUCCAUCCAGCCCCUUGAACCUCAUACAUGUGCCACGCACUGUGGUGGGUACAGAGGUCAUAGUCUUUUUUCCUAAGGAGGAAGGUGGGAGUCAGGUAGGCGUGGCCACAGAUUCUGUUACAGCGUGGAGAGAGUGCUGUGGGAGUGUAGUCACAGGGAGGCCUGGCUCUGUCUGUGAUGUUACAGAAGGAGUCACCUGAAGUGGCCUGAAAGGAUGUGUGGGUGGCUGGCAGGUGGCGCCGUGGGUCAAAUUCCAGGAUGAGGGACCAGCUGGAGCAGAGACACAGCAGCGUCCAGGUAUAUGCUUACUGGGGAAAAAGCAGCCUGCUGAGGCCAGAGUGCAGGGUCCAUGGGGUUAGUGGUUGGAGGUAAGGUUGAAAAAGGAUGUUUCAGACAGUCUGUCUGAAAGGCUUUGGAUGUCAUCAUAAUGAGUUUG